rnacentral:lncRNA from 1 species
UCCUUCAACAUUGGAGGCUAGACUGGUUGACUGGUCCACCCAGACCAUGUCAGUAUCGUCUCCUUGUUCUAUCAGAGAAAAAGAGACAUCCACAGACGUGCCACGGUGAAAAGACCAUCUCUUUUCAGCAUGGGGCAGGAGAGCUGAGUUGCAGACUGGAACACCUGCAGAUAUUGUUGGUUUGACCUGGACAAGAACCCAGAGACAGGAAACCUUAUGGGGGAAGGUACCAUUGCAGCCACCAUGGGUCAGAGGAAGAAACUGAAGCAUACAGAGGGAAGUUAUCUUUCCAAUGCUGUACCGCAGGUAAGAGUUGGAAGCAGGACCCACUGAGGGCAGUAUAAGUGGAGUAACGCUAUCAUCCUAAAACAGCAGCCAUAAGAGCAAGGAUCCUUCAUGCCUCAUGCCAAAUCCUUCACCAAACCUGCAACUGUAGGAGCUCAUCUUGACAUGACUGCAGUGAUUGUGUAUCAACCACGGUUGUCCAGAAUAACACUUGCUAGUUUUCCCAAUAGUUUCCCCACUAACUAUAAUAGACAAAGCCAUUGGA